GUCUACGGCCAUACCACCCUGAAUAAGCCCUAUUUCGCCUGAUCUCGGAAGCUAAGCAGGGUCAGGCCCGGUUAGUACUUGGACGGGAGAAAUAGAGACUCAGGAAAUGUACCUA
rnacentral:rRNA from 1 species